AGCAGCCGAUUGUCAAACAGAUAAACGUAUCAAAUCAAACUUCGAAUUAUACUAAUCAAAGGGCCACUGUUGCACCAUGGGUUGUGGUGUACGCGGAUGGGAAAAACAUAGUGUCCAAACAGAUGUCCAGUUUCUGCGAAAAGCGUGGUUUAUUUAACCAAACAGCGAGCAAACAAAGAACAAAGAAAAUUCCUGUGCCUCUCCCGCUCCGGUAAAAAACCAUUUGCCCACCCAGGUGCAUGCUGGUCCCUUACCGACAGCCUACCUAUAUAACUUCAGGUGCCCCCCUACCGUGCCCAAAUGAAACAAAACACAAAUAAUAAACAAGAAACACCUAAAGUAAACAAAUAAUAAACUAGAAUACUAAUAGAAAUCUAAUCAUAAUGAAAUCAAGCAAAUUGACGGAGAAUAACCAAAAAACUAAAUACUCACUAAACAAAAUAAUAAACUAAACAGCACUAAGUACUACAACUAAAUAAAUAGCUCCAACAUUCCGGCCCCUAAUUGUGCACUAAAUCACAAUUACUUUAAUUUAUCAAAGGAGCUAUUCCCUCCACCCAAUCUAUGACUAGACAGUUCAUGCAUUAGCUUCAGUUCACUUUCUUCUUUAUGAUGUACCUGAAACAACAAAAGAGAGAUAUAGAGAAAAAGAGGGAGGGGGAGAGAGAGAAAGUCCAUGGUGUCACAUUCCUGCUUCCAACAGCAGGCAGAGCUUCGUCACAGGCCUCUCCAGAAUGCUGGUCCUGGUCCGAAGGCGCACAGAGCGUACCAGGCCCUUUGCAUCUGCUCUCACAUCCAAGAUUCUCCCCAUCAGCCAAGAUCCUCUUGGGGCUGCAGCGUCUGCAAUGAGGACGAUGUCUCCAGGAACGAGAUUUCUCCUUGGUCUUGUCCAUUUCUGUCUCUCUUGCAUCAUUGAUGUAUUUAAGAACAGUUGUGCUGUCGGUCCAGAAAACUGACUUUUCCAGCUUAAGUUGCAACUCCUUCUGAAGCAUCUUGUCAACUCGAACUGCAAGAACUGCUGCUUCUCAAAUAGGACACUGUUCCAUAUCCAACUUGGCUGGCGUCAGAGAAGUGGUGAAGCUGUGCAGUGGCAGGGUCUCCAAAGUCUCUGGGUUUCAUACAGCGAUCCACAUUGAAUUCAGCCACCUUCUGAAGAUCCUCCAACCACUCAAACCACUUCUUGGAGAGAGAAUGGGGGAUAGCUUCAUCCCACCCCAAGCUUCUCCUACAAAGCUCCUGUAACAACAGCUUGGCUGGAAUGGUGAGUGGGGACAAAAAACCUAAGGGGUCAUAAAGUGAGCUGACCACUGACAAAAUACCUCUUCUUGUCUGUGGCUGUUCUUGCACUGAGGUUCUAAACUUGAAUUUGUCAGUUUCAAUGCACCACUGUAGCCCCAAAGCUCGAUCCAUCGGAAGCUGGUCCACAUCCAAAUCCAGCUCCAUCACUUCCUUUGCUCUGCAGUCUUCAGCAAUUGACAGCAGCACUGUUCGGCUGUUGCUGAUCCAUUUGGAAAGAUUAAAUCCUCCUUUGUGACAAAGCGCAGUCACAUCCUUGACCACUUGCACUGCCACCUCCUCUGAGGCCACUGAUUUCAAGCAAUCAUCGACAUAAAAAUUACACUUUACUGUAUUGACCACUUCAUGGGGGAAAUGUUCGGCAUUGUCAUCUGCUGUUCUCCUCAAUGCAUAAUUUGCACAGCUUGGUGACGACACAGCUCCAAACAAAUGAACUUUCAUGCGAUGUUCCACUGGAGCCUGUGAAACGUCUCCCCCAGGCCACCAGAGAAAGCGGAGAAAGUUGAUGUGCUUUUCAGAAACAUGAACUUGGUGAUACAUUGCUUGGAUGUCGGCCAUUACUGCAACGGGCUCUUGUCUAAAUCGAACAAGGACUCCAACUAGAGAGUUGGUAAAGUCAGGGCCCUGUAAAAGCUGACAGUUCAGUGACGUCCCUUUGUAUGCUGCUCCACAGUCAAAAACAACUCACAGCUUGCCUUUUCUGGGAUGAUAAACCCCGUGAUGAGGGAUAUACCAUACAUUUCCAUCACUCUGUUUAAGUUGAUCAGAAGGCACCACUUCAGCAUAUCCUUGAGCCACCAUGUUGUUUAAAAAUGUGAUGUACUCUCCUUUAAAUUGACCAUUCUUGGCAAACUUUCUUUUCAGGCUCUGGAGGCGCUGUUCUGCAACAUGACGAUUAUUUGGCAUGAGAGGGUUUUCCUGCCUGAAGGGUAAGUCAAUGCAGUAAUGGCUUCCAAUUAACUUUGUGGUGUUAUUCAUAACAUUCAUAAACUUGACAUCCUCUCUGGACAUUUCAAUCUGUUCAUCUGAUGACCUCUCAUUAAAAUCAUGGUUAAACUGUUUAACCAGCAUUUCUUGAAGAUGUUCAACAGAGAUCCGGUUGGAUGUUACAGCAGAGCAGUCACUUUUAUUCUUGUUGCUCCCACCACGAAGUGGACCAUUAAUGACCCAACCGACCCUGGUUCUGACAGCAUAAGGUCCUUCAUCCAGGCUGUUUAUGAGCUCCCAAGGCUCCAUCACUUUUGGUGCAUCAGUUCCAAUGAGCAGAUCAACACCUUCCUCAAUGUCAUGAAGUUGAACAGCCUUGAGAUACGACCACUGAUCAACGUCCUCUUGUCGUGGAAUAUUGAGUGAUGAGACAGGCAUGUUCUUUUGUGUUAAAACAUCAGAUCACAAGCAACAUUUCUCCAUCUUUCCCUUAACUUGUAAGGAAGUUUCACAAUGAUGCUCCUCAUGUUAGAUGGUAAGUCCAGCUCUUUCAUGUUCAGCAGUUGCUCUGUUAAGUUUGAACAUCCACGUAGAAACAAAGAGAAUGAUUGCAACCCUUUAAUGUCCUCACUUUUUACAGGUGUCCAGGUAAGUAUUUUUUCCAUGUAUGCAGCUGCAAUUUUGUGUUCAUUUCCAAAGUGCUCCGCAAGAAGACUCUUGGCUCGGUGGUAUCCCUGCUCUGAAGGCAAGUGCUGACAACUGUGCACCAGGUCUUUUGGCUGCCCCCUGGUGUACUGUUCAAGAAAGUGCAAACAGUCACUCCAAUUGUCUGUUUUCUCCUCCACUCCAUUUUCAAAAGCUCUGAUGAAAGACCUGUAUUGGAGUGGGUCUCCAUCAAAAACAGGGAUAUUCCUAGAUGGGAGGUUAGAGCACAGAUUUUGUUGGACAAGCAACGCAGCAAUGUCAUUUUGUCUUUGCAUAAUGUUCACAAUGUCAUUUUGAUGGUUGUCAGUCAGAGCAGUUUGAUGGUGAGCAUGUCCCAUUUGAGUUCCAUUUACAGUUUGCAUCACAUGAACUGGAGCUUCAACUUUUAAUGUCAUUUCAUCCAUUUGUUUUUGUUUAGGCUUAACCACUGGUGGUUGGAGUUCAGGAGCAGACAAACCAAGAGCAUGAUCUUUUUUUUUUAUUUUAUCAGGCACAAAGGUGUUGGCAUGGGGAUUUAAUUCACUCGCACCGUGAGAGUUGUUCCUUUCAAAAUAAGAGUUCAUGCCGUUUGAAUGUUUUGAGCCACACUGUGAACGGAUUUCCAAGACUUGAAGCUUUGCCUUUGUUGCUGCCAGUUCCG